AGCUACCAGCGGUGGAGAAGAGUGGAAGGUGGGUACUGCGCUGAGCCGAGAAGUCUGAGACCGAGGCUGCCACAGCCUAAGCAGGUCAGGGAGAGAAAGAAGGCGUGAGGCCGCAGCUGAAGUGGGGCAGGAAAGAGAAGGGAGCUGAGGCCCAGGCUGAGUGUGCACAGCUGCCUCUGAAGAUGGAGGUCAUGGGUGGACAGGCCCCUGCCGGGGCUGGAGGUCUGGCAGCCGUAAACAUGGGGCCUGAAGCCCUCAUCCUGGCUGUGGCAGUGGCUGGAGCUGGAGGGGGGCCGUCGCCUACGACCGGGAGCGGAUCGAGCCCAGAGACCGAUACAUGGACAUGGACAUGGACUUGGAAGGGGGAGUGGUCAGGGCAGGAUAUAGCACUAGGCCCCACGUUGGCCGCUCUGUUGCUGCUAUACGCUGCGUUGUGGGCUAGUGUAGUAGAGCUGAGAUGGAGGGUCCUGGAUCUGGCUCAGCAGCAGGAAGAGGAACCAGACCAAGAGGCAGGGGCAGACGAAAGAGCAGAGACAAGGGCAGAGGCAGAGGCAGUGGCAGAAGCAAAGGAGGUGCGGGAGCGGGAGACUGAGCAGGAGCCGGAGCUCAAACAUAAGCGAGAUGCAGCACCCGAGAUAGAGACGGAGUCUGAGGCCGAGGCAGAGGCAGAAGCAGAGCUGGAGGAGCUCCGGGAGCCUUCGGGUGCUUGGGGCCCAAAGGAGCCUGCAUCUUUAUGUGAGAUCGGGCCCUGGACCAAUGUGCCUGUACUGGGGGUGGGUGCCCGCCCUGUGGGACUAGCCGGUGUAGUGGUUGCUGUCCGCUCGGGUCUGGUGCUGAAACUGACGACAUUGCACGCAAGAGCAGGGGGUUUGCUGCUGUCCCGCUCACAGCAAGUGAUCUUCGAUGAGGGCAGCAUUCGUUCCCUGCGUCCUUUGGGAGUGGAUUCGGUCCGCAUGAACAACUGCUGGAACAAAGGACGCUUCUUCCCUCGGCUAGGAGCCUUCCAAGAGCACCUGCUUAACCUACUGCAGCAGGAGGCUCGCCAAGCAAGGACCAACAUUCUCGUCUUCCUGGACAACAAGGCAAUGAAGAAAAUCUACCAUUGGGUUUUCAAUGCCUACAAAAUGGAUGGCAAUCCAAAAGUGAGUGGCUUGUCACUCCAGCAGCUCCUUGAGAUUUUGCUGUCUUGUAAGAAGAUCACAGCUACCUAUAUUAAGAGGAACAACAUUGCUGUCAUGGUGGAGGGAGAAGAUGCACAUCUUCUCAACUUUGAUACUGGGUAUGGUGUGAAUCUUGGACAGAGGGGCCUGGAAUCAAGUGAAGAAUUAGCCACCAACAUGGCAACAGCUGGGGAUCCCAGAGAUGUUUUCCAACCUUUGUCAGCUAACACUAAAAAGUCCAGAGAAAUUGUUGAAGAUCCUAAAAGUGAUGGGCUCUUUGGUGCUCACUUUGAGUAAAAAGGAGCAAGGAGAACAGGUCUUCCAUAAAGGGCAGAUCUAUCUAGCCAAGAUUCUUGCAAAAUUCUCCAAAGUUAGUCAAAAUGCUACUAGUGAGUAAAAGGUGUUAUCAUGGUUCCAUGCCUUUAAAUGCAGGCCAAAAGAAAAAUGAGUUAUAAAAUAUAAGAUUCCAAUGAACUGUCAAGUUCACACACAGGAAGAAAACACACAGACACACACACACACACACACACACACACACACACACACACUCCACUGUUCUACUUAGUAUUCACUGGGUUACCUAGGGAUAAAAAAAAAUGCAGCAUUUGAUCCCUUAGGAUUUUCACAAGAAAAAGUGAGGUACUAGGGUCUGUCCCCCCCAUGCUUGUAAAGGUAUCAUCUUAGAAUGUCAGAGUAGGAAGGGAUCUUUAUAACAUAGAAAACAGAAUGUGAGAACUGGGAGGGACCUCAGAACAUAGUAUAGAGGAUGCCACAUUUUGGAGGGAUCUUAGAGAGGUUCCAUUAGAGAAGUCUGCAGUUAGCUUUAGUGUCUCUCUUCAAAUAUGUGCCAAAAUAAGGAAUGGAGACUGUACUUGUGUAUCAAUUCCCUUCAUGAAUGCACUAUGAGUCACCCCAUUAGAGAAAUGUUGAUUGUGUAUGAUCCUAUAAAAAAUGUCCCUCUCUAAUGCAUAGUUAUUUAAGUGAUAUUAUUGUUUCCUAUAUAGUAUAUGAAUAUUGUUG
rnacentral:lncRNA from 1 species